CAGAACGAACGCUGGCGGCGUGGCUAAGACAUGCAAGUCGAACGGACCAGUAAUUUAUUAUUGGUCAGUGGCGAAAGGGUGAGUAAUGAAUAGGUAACGUACCCCGAGCUCUGGGAUAGCCAUCCGAAAGGAUGGGUAAUACCGGAUAACAUCACAGGUCGAUGGGCCUGUGCUCAAAGAUUUAUCGGCGCGGGAGCGGCCUAUUUCCUAUCAGCUAGUUGGUGAGGUAACGGCCCACCAAGGCGAAGACGGGUAGCGGGACUGAGAGGUUGGCCCGCCACAUCGGAACUGAGACACUGUCCGGACCCCCACGGGGGGCUGCAGUAACGAAUCUUGGGCAAUGGGCGAAAGCCUGACCCAGCGACGCCGCGUGCGGGAGGAAGUCCUUCGGGAUGUAAACCGCUGUCAGGGACGUGAAAGUCCACUUCGGUGGAUUGAUCUAACCCAGAGGAAGUCACGGCUAACUCUGUGCCAGCAGCCGCCGUAAGACAGAGGUGGCUAGCGUUGUUCGGUAUCACUGGGCUUAAAGCGUGUGUAGGCGGGAGCGUAAGCAUUUUGUGAAAUCCCCCGGCUCAACCGGGGCAUUGCUUGAUGUACUGCGUUCCUUGAGGCAAGUAGGGGUGCGAGGAACUCUUGGUGGAGCGGUGGAAUGCGUAGAUAUCAAGAGGAACGCCGAUGGUGAAGACAUCGCACUAGGCUUGUCCUGACGCUGAGACACGAAAGCGUGGGGAGCGAACGGGAUUAGAUACCCCGGUAGUCCACGCCGUAAACGAUGCUUACUAGGUUGUGGCGGUUCUGACGCCGGCACAGUCGAAGCUAAAGUGUUAAGUAAGCCGCCUGGGGAGUACG
rnacentral:rRNA from 1 species